rnacentral:lncRNA from 1 species
CAGUGUGAAGGACAAAGGAGCACCAAACUCAGCAGGCUCCUGGAGAGGACAUAGGAGAAAGGGAUAUUGAAAUUAAACAAUCACUCUGAGAUUCUACAUUCUCUACGGUCAUGACUCGCUGCUACCCAAAACCACCUGUGACCCUACAGGGGAAUGUAUCCUAUCAAAGAUCCAGGGGAGUGGAGACGUGGAGUUGCACAUAACACUUGGGAGAGAAAUCCUUUGUUAUGUCCAAGCUAAUGAGCCAACAGCUAAAUGGCAAAUGCUUUAUGAAGACCUGCAAACUUGGACACAG